UCAGGGCUCAUUCAAUAUCCUGUGAUUUCUAACCACCCACUGCUAUAUCUAACACUUCCCCUCUUGGGAUCUUAAAAAAAAAACCAAAAAAAAAAAAAAAAACCGCCUUAGAAUAUGGCGAUGGUUUUACUUUUUUCUCAUGUUAUCUGUUGUACAUUGUCUGGUGCCCAGCAAGCCGCUUGGAUAAUUGCUUGGGACCAAGGAGCAGAUUUGCCUGCCCAGACUCCUGCCUGCCGUCUGCUGUAGACGCAGAGUCCCUUGGAUCAGAGGACCCGGCCCGUUGGAACCUUGCCCCCCCUGCACCGUGAAAGGGCUGCUCAGAAGCCCAAACCUCAGCCUCCGUCCAGGGCACAGCCCCUGCCCAGCCUUCUCAGCAAGGCUGUCUUGGAAGUAGGCAGCACCCCCUCCUGGGCUAAAUCCAAAUGUUUUCUGUUUGUUCCCGAGUCAUCCAGGAUAAUAACCUCGCUCUGGCAAGUUCUGCCCCAUCACUGCCCCCUCCUGGCCCCUUCUGUUGUUUAUUUGAACCGUGCUCUGGACUGUUGGCACAUCAGUUUAUAUUGGACAUUGGAAUUUCCAGAUAAGGUUUGUCAGGAAGCCAGAACCUAUUUGCAUACUUUGUGUACGAUGCCAGGGCAAGGGGGUGAAUGAAAAUAAAAUCUCGCAGUUAGUAUAGGUAAGGAACGUGAAGAAUGAAGGAUGAAAGGCAAACGAAAUACCAUUAUAAACAAGUACAAGACAACAGAAGGGCUAACGGAACCCUACUUGGGCCAGGAGUCUUGGCGUGGUGCGCUGAUGUCUGUCACCUGCAGUCUGUUCAUGAAACGGCAUCUGCUGGGAAGGGGGUGCUCAAGGCACGCACCCCUAAAAAGUCAGCUACUGGAAGUUUCUUUUACGGAACCAAGGACAUCACACUGCAAAUGUCAAGCCUUUAGGAACCUCUACCACCUGUGUUCUGUGCUUCCCGUUCUGUUCUUCUCUUUGCUUCAUUAGACAUUCGUAUUGCAGCGAAAUUUGCAGCGAAUUCUGUGUUCUGUGCUUUCUGUUCUGUUCUUCUCUUUGCUCCAUUAGACGUUUGUAUCGCAAGGAAAUUUGUAGUGAAUUAAUAAGAGGUUUUUAGUGGUACCUUCUCCUCGGUGUUUCUGGUAGCACCAUUUAUGCCGAUGGGCACGUAUGUUCUGCUUUAACCUAACUCCAGCUGCUUGCUAAAGACCAUGGGCAUUGUUCAUGUUCUCUUAGGAGUCCAAAAUGAUGGUUUUACUUGCUCGAUUUUCAGGAGAGCAACAGAAAUAACUCUCAGUGGGUCCUUACCUGAAGCCGGGCACAAACUCAAAUUAGAUUCUUUCAUCCCAGCCUCAUAGUUACCUGAUGAGAUGAGAACUAUGUUUAUUAUCCCUGUUUAUACAGAUGAGGAGUUGAAGGUUCAGAGAUGUUGCGUGACUUUCUAGGGGCGGGGGUGGAGUCCGAACUCAAAGUCUAGCUCUCUCAGGGCCUGGUUUUUAUCUACAGUGCAUAAGGUGCAUUUUAGCAUUUGCAAAUGAUGAAUAAAUGUGAGACCCCACACCUAAGGAAAUAAUCCUGUCGUCAGGGCUGGUUUCAUAAAGAUGUGAUUUGCGCAUCAUGAAACUGAGCUAGGGAGGAGGUAAAGAAUUUCUGACGUCUCGGGAGUGUUCUGAAAUAGAGGAGGUUGUCAGAACAGGAGUGGCUGCCCAUGCACCCAGCACAGACUGCAGGGUCAGAGCCAGGGCUCUGCGAAUGCUUACCAUGUUCCAGAAAGUGCUGUCCUUGAAACCAACACAUUGUGUCAUUGAAUCCUCACGACAGUCUUCAAUGUAUAAGACAGGCUCAGAACGGCAAAGCAGCUUGCCCAGGGUCACACAGCCAGUGAUUGGUGGAGUCAGGACCCUUGGCCGCUGCUCCCCUGAACUCCUCUCGGGUGCCCUAGGGGAGCUCCUCAGAGCCGCACUUUCUCAGCCUGUGAGCGAAAAAAGUCAGAUUGUCCCCAUUGCCCCUGGCCCCUUGAACACGUGUCCCAGUGUGUCGCAGAGGGUCCCCUCUGAAAUGGGCCUGGUGGACAAGAGGUCAGAAUGUGCCAGGACUCUGGUGUGUGCGCUGGGAGAAGUUCCUGCUCCCGAGGGUUUGAAAACCCAGACUGGCCCUAGAAGUAUCCUUCCAAGGCCCAGGAGAAGACCUUAAGUCUGUAAACAGUGUCCUCUCGUUGUCUUUGGAAGCAGGAAUGGGUCUUGUAACUUCCUAGCACCUUGCUGUGCUGCUCACACCAUUGAUCCUUAAGAGACCUAAGGAAAGAAGCAAGAACUAGAUGGAUGGAUGGAUGGAGGCUGGACAGGGAGAAGAAGCGCCUGUGUUUGGGUAGGAGUCUGACUAAGAACCUCUUCCCACCAGAUGCGUAUAUAAAAUAAUGGUUCUGGUGGCUCUUGUGAAAAAUACCCAUAGCAUAUAUUUUCAACUGGAUUUUGAGUGUGGGGCUUUGGAGACAGGCUACCUGGGUUCAAAUUCUUGCUCUGCCACUUAUGGCUAAUUUUCUGCGGCAGGUCAUGGAACCUCACUGGGUCUCGUAUCUGUUGUACUGCUGUUGUGCGUUUAGGCAGGUGAUGCGCCUGGAUCCAGGGAGCAUUUGCUAAGUGCCAGGUAUAAUUACUGCCAUCCCAGCGUGCCAGGCUUGCUGGAAUCAGUGCAGCCGCUGCAGGGAACUGCUCCCCUUGGCAAGUGAGUGUAAAAUUCUCAGUCCCAAGUUGAACCCAAACGUAGAGCAUCAAGCACCUGGCCCCAAGUGUAAUUUCCUCCUGCAGCUCAUUGCAGCCGUGAGGAGCUCGCAGGGGAGGGCAGCGCAGCAGCCCCGUAAUUUCCAGAGUCCUCCUCCUAGACUGACACAUAAUUGUCAGAUUGUUUUACGAGAGCAGCUUCCUGCCCCCUUCCUGCCUCGCUUCCAAAUGUGCUCCUUCCCGAGGAAGCCUCACUUCUCCCUCUGGCCCUUAAUCGCUCCUUUCCUGCCCGCCCCGGGGCCGGCCCCGUUUCCUAAAUCACUCGGAAUUGGCUUCCAGCGCCGGCGCCCAGGGUGGGCUGCAGGAGAGGGCGCGUUUGUUCUAAGUGGCUUGUGACCCAGAGGUCAGAGAUGCUUCCAUUCCGUUUGAUGUCUUUCCCAGGGGGCCUUCCUUCACCCACCCCGUCUCCUUCCCUCCUGAGCUGACUUUAAAUUCUAAGGUCAGGAACUGAUUAAGAAACUGAGUCCUGCUGCUUUUCCUAAGCAGUGUGGAGGUCCCCGGGGAUGGGGGGUGCUGGAGCGGGUGGGAGCAGCAGGGCAGGAGCCCUUGGCCCCUCGCAUUUCAAACUGCGCUCUCAAUGACUGAGCCCAGAGAUUCCUCUCCGUCUGGGCCUUCCCCUCCAAAAGCCCACCCUUAAAAGGAAAUGAUAAGUCCUCACAUUUUUAGCUUAAUUUUUCCCAUUUGAGGGAUUUCAGAGGAAGCAACACAGGGCGUUGUGUAUUUUCACUGCUAUUUCUUUUAUUGCCAAAGCAAUACACAAUCAUGGUAGUAAUUUCAAACAGCCUCAUUUCCAGGCACAGCCGCAGUUACCAGCAUUUUGUAUGUCCUUCCAGCACUGUUCUAGGCACACACAAGCCUACAGAUGGGUGUGUGUAUGUGCACACAUUUUUAACGCAAAUGGGACAAACUGGACAUCUUGUUCUACAGCUUGCUGUUUUUCACAAAACAGCGUGUUUUGGAUGUUUGCCAUUUCAGUAAAUUUGGAUUUACUCAUAAAAAAUUGCUACGUAGGGUUCCGUUGUACCAAUGCGCUAAUGUACUUCACUAGCUUCCUGUUAAUGAAUAUUUAGGCUGGUUUUGCUUUAUUACAAACAAAGCUAUAAUGUGUUCUAAAUCUGUACCCAGAUCUUGUAUUUUUAGAGCAGCUUCCAUUUAGAAGUGUAUUUUUUGAAUUGAAGGGUCUGAGAAGUGCAAAUUUUGACAGAUGUUGUCUAAUUGUUUUUCAGAAAGGUCAUACCAGCUUUAGGUCAAGUUCAGAAUUAAAUGUUUGAGAAUGCUUGAUAGUCUAUACCAGCACAAAUAUACAUAAAAUCAAAUAUUUUAACAUUGUCAUUUUAACAUCAUCAACCUUAAAAUAAGUGUACCUUAUUAUUUAAAUCAGUGCUUCCUUCAGAGUGGGCUUCAAACCUUACUCCCCCAAAAUGACUAUUUUUGUGAACUUCCUGCACAUGUAAAUUUGACCAUUUUCCUGUUGUGUUAUUUAUCUGCAUCUUAACGAUUUGAGGAUUUCGUUAUAUAUAAAGGAAAAUAAUCCUUUUCUGUCACAAGUACUAUCAAGAGUUCCCCUUUUUAUCAGUUGCCAUUUGGUUUUGUUUAUAUUUUUCUAGAUAAUAUGUGAAAAAUCAUUUUAACAGCAAAUGUAUCAAUUCUUUCUCUUUUUUCCUUUUGGACAUGCUUAGAAACUCUAACAUAAGCUGAAAUUGAAAAAAAAAUCACUCCUGUUUUCUAUUUGUUACAUGCAAAAUCUUUAAUUCAGCUAAAAUUUGGGGGGAAGAAUAAAUGCUAUGAUAGAGGACAACCUUAUUUCUCACUUGCAUGACCACUUGUUUCACACUCUUCAUUAACUAAUGCAUCUUUUUUUGGGGGGGUGUCUUUUGUCUUUUUAGGGCCAAACCGGUGGCAUAUGGAGGUUCCCAGGCCAGGGGUCUAAUUAGAGCUACAGCUUCCGGCCUUCGCCAGAGCCACAGCAACACCAGAUCUGAGCCCCAUCUGCGACCUAAUCCACAGCUCACGGCAACGCCAGAUCCUUAACCCCCCGAGAGAGGCCAGGGAUCUUACGCGCAACCUCAUGGUUUCUAGUCAGAUUCGUUUCCGCUGCGCCACGAUGGGAACUCCAUAAUGUGUCUUUUCUUAGCACUUUAAAAGAUAAAAUUUCUGGGAGCUCCCUGGUGGCCUAGUGGUUAAGGAUCUGGUGUAGUCACUGCUGAGGUUUGAUGGUUGGCCAGGGAACUUCCGCACGCUGCAGGCAGAG
rnacentral:lncRNA from 1 species